rnacentral:lncRNA from 1 species
CUUCUGAACUGGUUUUCCUCACCUAACCCAGUAUUUUCAGAGGAAACAGUGAAAGACAAAAAACCCGAGGGCUCUGGGCCAACCGCAAAGCUACUCUCCAGGAGGAACUCUUGUCUUCUCUCCUGUGGAAGACAAAGCAUCGGUCUACACUGCUAUUUACAAGCCCCUGACGAAGGUAAUUUUCUUACACGGUUCAUCAUCUUUAGCAUAAGAUCUAAGAUUGUUCUAAAAAUAUAUUUACAUUUUAUCAACACCUUAGAAGAAUGCUCCCAGAUCUCUCCUAGCAGUUAGCUAUUUAAUCAUUUUUAAAUCUCUAAGUUUAUCCAAAAAGUCCAGCAUGGUUUACUUGAGAAGGAAAUAUGUUCAGAAUCUCUAAGCACUGAAGAAGUCAUCUGCACUGCAGAAGAGUUGGCAGGGAGGUCCUUCUCCCGGAGUCUGGACAGCAGAUGCAAGCAGGCAGGAAGGCACACACAGUGGGAAUCAGGAAGGGUCCCUGUGCACCUUCAGGAGCUGAGGACCAAAGAGGUGGGCCUCCAUGGUGG